GCCUGACUGGCUCAGUCAAUAGAGCAUGUGAUUUGAUCUCAGGGUUGUGGGUUCAAGCCCCACGUUGGGUG
rnacentral:tRNA from 1 species